AUGCUAUGGAUUUGUUAAAGGUUAUACUAGAUGGAUCAAUCACGGGGAAUGGGAUAUCAAGUUGAAUGUUGAAGAUGAUAUGGAAUGCUCGCGUGAUGAUAUUGAUGGGUUGUUGAAUGAUCAAUUUAGAGAUUUUGCACAGCCUGAGGGAGCUUAUGAUGGUCCAAAUGAAGAUGCCAAAAAAUAUUAUAACUUAGUUGAAGAGGCAAGCCAAGAAUUAUAUCUUGGUUGUACAGGAUUCUCUAAAUUAUCAUUCACACUUCGUUACACGGAUGGAGCAAUGAAUCAUUCACUUCUCUUUUAGAGUUAUUAAAAGAGGCGAUGCCAGAGUUGAACAUUCCUUGGUAUUACAAUAAAACCAAGUCUAUGGUUAAGAAUCUCGGCCUUAAUUAUGAGAAAAUUGAUGCAUGUCCAAAUGAUUCCAUGUUGUUUAGGAAUGAUCAUAAAGAUGAUGAGUUUUGUCAUACAUGUGGAGCUUCACGAUAUAUUAAAAAUCCUAAAGUUGAUGGUGAGGGCGAGUCUUCUAAAAAAUCACAUCGAGUUAAAAAAAUACUAUCCUAAAGAACAGUAUCAUAACUGAUUGUAAAUUUGUGAUAGUUGGCUAAUUAGUCCUCUCAGUUUCUCCGAAAUUCUUCUUUGUGGUAGUUGGCUUAUUGAUACAGCUAAUUUGCAAUCUUUUAACUUCAUUUUGAAUCAUUCAAAGUAGAUCUAGUUUUUGCAUGACUGAUAUGAAAUUUAUAUUGAGAAAUCUCUGAAUUUCAAUUUUUCUAUACAAAAGCCUAAGAUCAACUAUAUAGUCAGGUUGCUUUGUUUUAAUAGGGUAGAUGUUGAAUUGGCUUAUACUUAUUGUUCAACUCAUAGCAUUUUCCUUCUACUUGGCUACUUUUCCACCAACAAUCAUAUUUGACAUUGUAUAUAUAUUCUAGUGUGACAGGGAUCUUGUAAUAAUAUGAAAUUGGCAUAGAAGCAGAAAAAAAAGAUAUUUCAAAAUUGGAGUAGCAAAGAUGAAAUGAUACAAGAAGCUUCAUCCAUGACUACAAAUCAAUCUUUUAUUGGUCUUGCAUCCUCUUCUAACAUCAAAUGCUCUUUUUGUCUAUGUGAAGAAUGUGAGCAACAAUAUUAUUAUUUUAUUAGUCGUGUUAAAAAACUCACUGAUAUUUUUAAGAAAAUUUCUCAUAUUGAUGUCCAAAUAUCCAAGAAGAAUUCACAGCCUCUGAAGUGAAGGAGGUUGAAAAAAUCUAUUUCCAAACACUUUCUACUAUUAGUAAGAAGAAGGAGAAGGAGAAGAAGGAAAAGGAGGAGAAAGAGAAGAAGGAAAAGGAGGAGAAGGAGAACUGAAGCAGAAGAAGGAGGAUAAGAAGAAGGAGAAGGAGAAGGAUAAGGAUAAGAAGAAGAAGGAGAAGCAGAAGAGAAUCAGGAGAAGGAGAAGCAGAAAGAAAAAAUGAAAGCGAAAAACAAAGAGAAGAAAGUCGAAGUCUCCAUUUGUGAUGUGAAACGGCAAUAUCCAUUUGAAGGUUUUAACAUUGACAGCGAGGGUCCAACUGUAAUAAUGUCAUCCUUGUCGCAAUUGAUAAACGAGGGUCUUUACAAGCAUCAUGCAAAAAAGUAAGGUCGUUCAACUAUUAUUAGUAUUUAUUCUUGUUGUCCACUAAAUAAUUAUUUAUAAUGAUUACACAAUCACAGAAGAGACAAGGACGAUCACUACUUAGCCAAUUUCUCAAAACUUCAUUUUGACCAACUUGAUUUUGUAGUAGCAUUUCCAAA